rnacentral:piRNA from 2 species
UCUGGUGAUUGUGAGAUGUAAAGAGG